GGUUGGUCCAAGUGCAGUGGUGUUUACAACUAAUUGAUCACAACCAGUUACAGAUUCCUUUGUUCCUGCUCCACUCCCACUGCUCCACUUGACCAGAAAA
rnacentral:Y_RNA from 1 species